GCAGCUGGGUAACUCAGUUGGUUGGCAUGUGGUGCUGAGAACGCCAAGGUUGCAGGUUCGAUCCCCGUAAGGGGCAGGUGCA